UACGUAGGUCCCAAGCGUUAUCCGGAAUUACUGGGCGUAAAGAGUCUGUAGGCGGAUAAGUAAGUUUUGUAUGAAAGACCGGAGCUCAACUCCGUGUUUGUGCAAAAAACUACUUGUCUAGAAUUAGGAAGAGGUAAACGGAAUGCUAAGAGUAGAGGUGCAAUUCGUAGAUACUUACCAGAACACCAAAAGCGAAGGCAGUUUACUGGGACUAUAUUGACGCUGAGAGACGAAAGCGUGGGGAGCGAAAAGGAUUAGAUACCCUUGUAGUCCACGCCCUAAACGAUGAGAGCUAAGUGCUGGGUCUUGUAUCCAGUGCUGAAGCAAACGCAUUAAGCUCUCCGCCUGAGGAGUACGGCCGCAAGGUUAAAACUCAAAUGAAUAGACGGGGACCCACACAAGCAGUGGAUCAUGUGGUCUAAUUCGAAAAUAAACGGGGAAUCUUACCCAGGCUUGACAUCUAACGAAUCCCGCAGAAAUGUAGGAGUGCUCGCAAGAGAACGUUAAGACAGGCGCUGCAUGGUUGUCGUCAGCUCGUGCCUUGAGGUGUUCGGGUAAGUCCGUUAACGAGCGCAACCCAUAUCGUUAGAUACUAUGUCUAACGAGACUGCCCGAGUUAAUCGGGAGGAAGGUGUGGAUGACGUCAAAUCAGCAUGGCCCUUAUGCCUGGGGCCACACACAUGAUACAAUGGUCGGUACAAAGAGUAGCAAUGUGGUGACACGGAGCCAAUCUCAAAAAGCCGAUCUCAGUCCGGAUUGAGGUCUGAAACUCGACCUCAUGAAGUUGGAAUUGCUAGUAAUCGUGAAUCAGAUAUGUCACGGUGAAUAUGUUCCCGGGUCU
rnacentral:rRNA from 1 species